GUGGCAUCAGAUUUCCAAUUUAUCUUGACAUUAUUGGAUCAUAUUUGUUACUUAGAAUUGAGGAGGCGUAGAACGUAAUGUGGUCUUGCAUCUUCAUAAAGGACCAUGAAUAUCUCCAAGUGUUCCACUUUGUGGGCUAGAAUUUCACAAAUGUUGAACUUGUCGUGGAGAGAGAGAUGAGGAAUGGAACCCAACAGAUCGAAUACCUCCUUCCUCGCUUUUUCUAAGUCUUGGUCAUAUCCGAUCAACUAGCUAGAUUCUCCAAUCUAGCAUUCAUAUUGCGACUAAUCUCACCAAGCAGAGCGUAGCCAUAAGUGGAUUUGCAUUUCUUGCCUCUAGUUUCUUUCACUUGUGCAGGUUGCUUGCUUCCAUAAACACUAUUUUUCCCUUGUGUGGCUUCAAAUAUGUCAUCAAGGCUAACGUUAUAAUCAUCGGCCGAUGCAGAUUCUUCCAUGUCAUCUUGUUGCUCCAAUUUAUUCAACACAUCGAGAAUGUCCUCUGCAUUAUCACACGUUGCCCACUCCGUUUCCAAAAAUCUCUUUCCAAUCCACAAAGUAAGGUCAAGGCUUUUACCGCAUUGAACAAGCAUUACUAUCGCUCUGUCAUGUCAACAAAAAGCAAAAUUCAACAUAUAUCGCAAAUUUAAAUCAUGGAAGCUAUCACAAAAAUUAUAUUAUGCAAAUAAUGCACCUUUUCGUAAUACUUUCUUGCAGAGCAUAAACAUAUAAAUUAAUUUGAAAGAAAUUCUAAGGAUAAAAAUAAGUCAUGUUUUCUAUAGAAAUCACUAGUUAACAUUUUAAAACAUGUGAAGAUAAGUAAAAAUAAGCCAACCUCGUACGUGUAACUUCAAGUCCUUAUUCACUACAAGAAAGAAACAAUGGACUUCAUGACCAAACUAUAAUCAUCGAGGGAAAAAAUAUAGAAGAAAGAAAACAAUUUUAGAUAAAGACUCUUCUCCACAAUAUUCAGAAGACAUUCAUUUAUAUAGCAGAGAAAAAUUAUGAAACAAAAGCUAUGAUCAGGUUCAGAGGGUCACAAAUCUCAUUUCAUUCAUGAACAUAGUUAGCACCACAAUGAGAAAGCUUUCAUCCAUUUUUAAAAAUUCAUUGAAGGAUUUCAGAGAUAUGGAUUAUUCCCCAACAACAAAAUUUCAACUUUACAUAUUUAUUAUCAUCAUAGUAGAUAAUCUUUAGUAUCAUUUCAGAUCAAGCAUGCCCGCAUUUUAUUAUAUGCAUGUGAAGGUUGUAGUGGAAAUGAAGGAUUUCAUAGAUAUAGACAUUAAUAUCCACAUGACUAUAUCAAACAAAGAAUCUGAUCGAGUUCCAUACCAAUAUAAAGUGUAGCUAAGGCACUGAGUAUCCGGCCACUAUAGAAAAUAACUGCUAAUAAACAUCUUUAUAUCACUCUUGUUAAUAUCUUAUUUUCUUCCAUUUUUGAAUUAUAUAUUUCAUUUCAUUUACCUGAUGUACAAAUGCAUGCAUAAAGAUAAUUACAAUUAGCAAUAACUUUAGGUUUAUAUCGCUUCAUUCAUCAUUCCAUAAUCACAAAUUUAAAUCAUGCAAGAAUUUGUUGAAAAUUAUAAUAUGCAAUCAAUGUACCGAGUUUAC
rnacentral:lncRNA from 1 species